CUGGGGAGGUUUAAGAGCCAUGUGGACACAAUCCUGAGUAAUAUGCUCUAGGAUGACUCUGCCUGAACAGAGAGGUUGGAUGAUCUCCAGUGUAUUCUUAAGUAAGAAUUAUUAAGGUUUUUUCUUUAAAAAUUG